CGCGGCAAUCGUUAAUUGGAUUUUCAUCAUUCAUUCUCCGGUAAGGAUGUUUAACCAGCGGUCGCAUUGGGACCGCUGGUUACC
rnacentral:sRNA from 1 species